rnacentral:rRNA from 1 species
UACAGAGGUCCCAAGCGUUGUUCGGAUUCAUUGGGCGUAAAGGGUGCGUAGGCGGCGCGGUAAGUCGGGUGCGAAAUCUCGGAGCUUAACUCCGAAACUGCAUUCGAUACUGCCGUGCUUGAGGACUGGAGAGGAGACUGGAAUUUACGGUGUAGCGGUGAAAUGCGUAGAUAUCGUAAGGAAGACCAGUGGCGAAGGCGGGUCUCUGGACAGUUCCUGACGCUGAGGCACGAAGGCCAGGGGAGCAAACGGG